CGGCGAGUGAAGCGGCAAUAGCUCAAAUUUGAAAGCUGGCACCCUCGGUGCCCGCGUUGUAAUUUGUAGAGGAUGCUUCGGCGAGGACCCCUGCCUAAGUCCCCUGGAACGGGGCGUCACAGAGGGUGAGAAUCCCGUAUGUGGCGGGCGGUCCGAGCCAUGUGAAGCUCCUUCGACGAGUCGAGUUGUUUGGGAAUGCAGCUCUAAAUGGGAGGUAAAUUUCUUCUAAAGCUAAAUAUUGGCCAGAGACCGAUAGCGCACAAGUAGAGUGAUCGAAAGAUGAAAAGCACUUUGGAAAGAGAGUUAAAAAGUACGUGAAAUUGUUGAAAGGGAAGCGCUUGCAACCAGACUCGCUCGCAGUUGCUCAGCCGGCCUCUUGGCCGGUGUACUCUUCUGCGAUCGGGCCAGCAUCAGUUCGGGCGGCUGGAUAAAGGUGUCGGGAACGUAGCACCCUUCGGGGUGUGUUAUAGCCCGGCGCGGAAUGCGGCCAGCCUGGACUGAGGAACUCGCUUCGGCAAGGAUGCUGGCGUAAUGGUUGUAAGCGGCCCGUCUUGAAACACGGACCAAGGAGUCUAACAUCUAUGCGAGUGUUUGGGUGUCAAACCCAUGCGCGUAAUGAAAGUGAACGGAGGUGGGAACCCCUCGCGGGGUGCACCAUCGACCGAUCCUGAUGUCUUCGGAUGGAUUUGAGUAAGAGCAUAGCUGUUGGGACCCGAAAGAUGGUGAACUAUGCCUGAAUAGGGUGAAGCCAGAGGAAACUCUG
rnacentral:rRNA from 1 species